rnacentral:rRNA from 1 species
UACAGAGGUCUCAAGCGUUGUUCGGAUUCAUUGGGCGUAAAGGGUGCGUAGGCGGGUCUUUAAGUCAGGGGGGAAAUCCUGGAGCUCAACUCCAGAACUGCCUUUGAUACUGAAGAUCUUGAGUUCGGGAGAGGUGAGUGGAACUGCGAGUGUAGAGGUGAAAUUCGUAGAUAUUCGCAGGAACACCAGUGGCGAAGGCGGCUCACUGGCCCGAUACUGACGCUGAGGCACGAAAGCGUGGGGAGCGAACAGG